CUCGACGCCCGCACUGUACGGAACGCGAACUUUGUUGAGAUUAAUUUGAGGAAGACUAAAGUAAAUAUUUGCGAGAGUGAACAACAAGGGUGAGAGAGAAAAUUUGAUAAAAAGGGGUUGUCAAUUCAACUCAUCUACCCACCCACUACCACCACCACCAUCAACAACCACCAUCACACUCGUGGCCGGUUAGCUGCACGCGGGAAACUGCUUGAAAGUUUGAAAAAGUAAUUAGAAGAAACUCUUGACUGUUUUCAUAACAAACUUAACAAUCAUUCUAAAGUGUGGGACAAAAGUAAGAAGAAUAAGAAGUGAUAAAAACAGGUGUGGGAUCAAAUUUGUCAAAUAAAAACCAAAUGGUUUGAGAAAGUUUGUGGAUUACAUUGAACGUGCUGAGAGUGAAAGGGGAGGAGUGAAGGAGAAGAAGAUUUUUUUAUUAAAAAAUAAACAAACAACAACAUAUCUUUCAAAGUAUCACGUGAUUCCGAAUGAUAAUUCCAAUGCGACGAGCGUCAAGAGGAAGGUGACGAGGUUGGGUCACGUCACAUAUCAAAAGAAAAAAAAAAAGAUAAAACAAGAAAAUAAACAAAUAAAAGAAAGAAAAGCACCCAAUAAAGAU